rnacentral:rRNA from 1 species
GGGAUCAGUGGCGAACGGGUGAGUAACACGUGAGCAACCUGCCCCUGACUCUGGGAUAAGCGCUGGAAACGGCGUCUAAUACUGGAUACGAACCACGAAGGCAUCUUCAGUGGUUGGAAAGAAUUUCGGUUGGGGAUGGGCUCGCGGCCUAUCAGCUUGUUGGUGAGGUAAUGGCUCACCAAGGCGUCGACGGGUAGCCGGCCUGAGAGGGUGACCGGCCACACUGGGACUGAGACACGGCCCAGACUCCUACGGGAGGCAGCAGUGGGGAAUAUUGCACAAUGGGCGCAAGCCUGAUGCAGCAACGCCGCGUGAGGGAUGACGGCCUUCGGGUUGUAAACCUCUUUUAGCAGGGAAGAAGCGAAAGUGACGGUACCUGCAGAAAAAGCGCCGGCUAACUACGUGCCAGCAGCCGCGGUAAUACGUAGGGCGCAAGCGUUAUCCGGAAUUAUUGGGCGUAAAGAGCUCGUAGGCGGUUUGUCGCGUCUGCUGUGAAAUCCGGAGGCUCAACCUCCGGCCUGCAGUGGGUACGGGCAGACUAGAGUGCGGUAGGGGAGAUUGGAAUUCCUGGUGUAGCGGUGGAAUGCGCAGAUAUCAGGAGGAACACCGAUGGCGAAGGCAGAUCUCUGGGCCGUAACUGACGCUGAGGAGCGAAAGGGUGGGGAGCAAACAGGCUUAGAUACCCUGGUAGUCCACCCCGUAAACGUUGGGAACUAGUUGUGGGGUCCAUUCCACGGAUUCCGUGACGCAGCUAACGCAUUAAGUUCCCCGCCUGGGGAGUACGGCCGCAAGGCUAAAACUCAAAGGAAUUGACGGGGACCCGCACAAGCGGCGGAGCAUGCGGAUUAAUUCGAUGCAACGCGAAGAACCUUACCAAGGCUUGACAUAUACGAGAACGGGCCAGAAUGGUCAACUCUUUGGACACUCGUAAACAGGUGGUGCAUGGUUGUCGUCAGCUCGUGUCGUGAGAUGUUGGGUUAAGUCCCGCAACGAGCGCAACCCUCGUUCUAUGUUGCCAGCACGUAAUGGUGGGAACUCAUGGGAUACUGCCGGGGUCAACUCGGAGGAAGGUGGGGAUGACGUCAAAUCAUCAUGCCCCUUAUGUCUUGGGCUUCACGCAUGCUACAAUGGCCGGUACAAAGGGCUGCAAUACCGCGAGGUGGAGCGAAUCCCAAAAAGCCGGUCCCAGUUCGGAUUGAGGUCUGCAACUCGACCUCAUGAAGUCGGAGUCGCUAGUAAUCGCAGAUCAGCAACGCUGCGGUGAAUACGUUCCCGGGUCUUGUACACA